UACGGAGGGGGCUAGCGUUGUUCGGAAUUACUGGGCGUAAAGCGCACGUAGGCGGCUUUGUAAGUUAGAGGUGAAAGCCCGGGGCUCAACUCCGGAAUUGCCUUUAAGACUGCACCGCUAGAAUUGUGGAGAGGUAAGUGGAAUUCCGAGUGUAGAGGUGAAAUUCGUAGAUAUUCGGAAGAACACCGGUGGCGAAGGCGACUUACUGGACACAUAUUGACGCUGAGGUGCGAAAGCGUGGGGAGCAAACAGG
rnacentral:rRNA from 1 species